rnacentral:sRNA from 1 species
AAAAUGUUUAAAUUCACUUGAAACUAGGCGUAUGCAAAUUAAAACCACUCAGAUACCAUUUAUCACUUUCCAGACUCCAUGAAAUGUAAAAAUAUGGCAAUACAUUCUGUUGGGAAGGCUGUGGGAAAAUAGGUACAUUCAUACAUUGCUGAUGGGAAUGCAAAAGUUUAUUAGUUGCAAUAUUGUUCUUAGUUGCAAAGUAUUGGAAGCAACCUAAAUUCCCAUCCACAGGAGAGUGAUUUAAUAAACUAUAGCGUGUCAUGCAGUGGAAUAUUAAAUAGGUAUAAGAAAAGAAUGAGGAAGACCUCUAUGAACUAAUAUGGAGUGAUUUCCAAGAUGGACUGUCAAAUGAAAAAAGCAAAGCACAAAAGAGUAUCCAUAGCAUGCUACCUUCAUGUAGGAAAGAAAGGAUAUAGAAAGUAAAUAGUUAUCUGCUCAUUUGUUCAAAAGAAAUACAGGAAAGAUAAAAUACUAGUAAGGCUGAUUACCUAGAGGGAAAGGAAUAAAGAAGGAAAUGAGGUUAGCAAGGAUGAAGUACAGUAACAUUUCUUUUACUAUAUCUUUCUGUAUAGCUCUGACCCUUGGAAUCAUAAUUAUGUCUCACAUACCCUUCACAUAAUCCCAAAUAAAUAAAUGAUAAAACCAACCAAGAAGUGUGGGAAACCCUAAAUGGAAUACAAAUACUAACAAAUGAAAGUAAAUGUAUUAAGAAUGAAUAACAACCACAGUUAAGCAAGUGAGGAAGAAAAUAACUAGGUAACUCUAAGUAUCUUUUCUGGGCACUAAAGGCUAAUGACAAAAAGAAUGGUACUAAAGUGCUGUAAUCUAGUUAGUAAAAGGGUUUCUUGCAGGGGUAUGAAUUAGUGCUACUGAAGCUACCUUUACAUGUACAUUAGAAUUGAACAACUAAGUACAUAUAUAGUAGAUAAUAAGAGCCAGGUUUCUCACUGUUGGAGAAAGACUUAUUAAAAGAAAGGAGGUAGGCCAAAAUACACCCUGUAAUGUUGGAUUGGAGUAAGAGGUGUCAGUAUAAAUUAAUGGUUCUUAAUAUAAAUGUAGACAGAUUAAGAAAUAUACAUGUGACUAUAUCUGUGGCAUAGUAUAUACAUUUAUACAUUUCCUAACUCUUAAAGGGCCUAGAAGCAGUGAAACUUCAGAGUAAUGAGCACAUUUAACACCAGAUCUUGUUUUUUAUCUUCUUUUUUUACUUUAAACUUUUUAUUUUUAAUUUUUGUGAGUACAUAGUAGGUGUAUAUAUUCAUGGAAUACAUGAGAUAUUUUAAUAUAGGCAUGUAAUGAGAAAUAAUCACAUCAUGAAGAAUAGGGUACCCACCUUUUCAAACAUUUAUCCUUUGUGUUACAAGAAAUCCAGUUACACUCUUCUAGUUAUUUUAAAAUGUUCAAUCAAGUUAUUGUUGACUAGAGUCAUGCUAUUGUGCUAUCACAUAGUAGGUCUUAUUCAUUCUUUCUAUUUUUAUGUAUCCAUUAACAAUCCCUACCUCCCCCUCCAGUGCCCAACUACCCUUCCCAGCCUCUGGUAACUAUCCUACUAUCUCCAUGAGUUCAAUUGUUUUGAUUUUUAGAUCUCAUAAAUAAGUGAGAACAUACAAUGUUUGUCUUUCUGUGUCUGGCUUAUUUCACUUAACAUAAUAACCUCCAGUUCCAUCCAUGUUGUUGCAAAUGACAGGGUGUCAUUCUUUUAAUUACUGAAUAGUACUCCAUUGUGUAAAUGCACUACAUUUUAUUUAUCCAUUCAUUUGUUGAUAGACACUUAGGUUGCUUCCAAAUCUUGCCUAUUGUGAACAUUGUGGCAACAAACAUGGAAGUUCAGAUAUCUCUUCAAUAUACUGAUUUCUUUUUUUGGAGGGUACAUACCCAGCAGCGGGAUUUCUGGAUAUAUGGUAGCUCUAUUUUUAUUUUUUUCAGGAACCUCCAAACUGUUCCCAAUAGUAGUUGUACUAAUGUACAUUCCCACCAACAAUGUAGGAGAGUUCCCCUUGUCCACAUCCUAGCCAGCAUUUGUUAUUGCCUGUCUUUUGGAUAAAAACCAUUUUAACUGGGGAGAAAUGAUAUCUCAUUGUAGUUUUGACUUGCAUUCUCUGAUGAUCAGUGAUGUUGAACACAUUUUCAUAUGCCUGCUUGCUAUUUGUAUGUCUUCUUUUGAGAAAUGUGUAUUCAAAUCUUUUGCUAAUUUUUUAUCAGAUUUUUUUUUUCCUGUUGAGUUGUUAGAGCUCCUUACGUAUUCUGGUUUUUAAUCCCUUGUCAGAUGGGUAGUUUGCAAAUAUUUUGUCCCAUUCUGGAGGUUGUCUCUUCACUUUGUUGAUUGUUUCCUUUGCUGUGCAGAAGCUUCUUAACUUGAUGUGAUCCCAUUUGUCCGUUUUUGCUUUGGUUAUCUGUGUUUGUAGGGUAUACUCAAGAAAUUUUUGCUCAGACGAAUGUCCUGGAGAUUUUCAUCAAUGUUUUCUUAUAGUAGUUUCAUCGUUUGAGGUCUUAGAUUUAAUCCUUUAGUCUACUUUGUAUAUUACUUUUGUAUAUGGCGAGAAAUAGGAGUCUAGUUUCAUUCUUCUGCAUGUGGAUAUCCAGUUUCCCAGAACUAUUUACUGAAGAGACUGUCUUUUCCCCAGUAUAUUUUCUUGGCAUCUUUGUCAAAAAUGAGUUCACUGUAAAUUCACUGUAAAUGUGUGGAUUCGUUUCCAGGUUCUCUGUUCUGUUCCCUGGGUCUGUCUGGUUUUAUGCCAAUGCCAUGCUGUUUUGGUUAUUAUAGUCCUGUGGCAUAAUUUAAAGUCAGGUAAUAUGAUUCCUCCAGUUUUGUUCUUUUUGCUUAAGAUAGCUUUGGCUCUUCUUGGUCUUUUGUGGUUCCAUAUAAGUUUUUGGAUAGUUUUUUUUUUCUAUUUCUGUGAUGAAUGUCAUUGGUACUUUGAUAGGGAUUGCAUUGAAUCUAUAGAUUGCUUUAGGUAGUUUGGACAUUUUUAACAAUAUUGAUUCUUUUGCUCCAUGAACGUGGAAUUUUUAUUUUGGUGUUCUCUUCAAUUUCUUUCAUCAGUGUUUUAUAGUUUUUAUUAUAGAGAUCUUUCACUUCUUUGAUUAAUUCCUAGAUAUUUAAUUUUAUUUGUAGCUAUCGUAAAUGGGAUUACUUUUUUCAUUUCUUUUUCAGAUUGUUCACUGUUUGCAUAUAGAAAUGCUACUGAUGUUGAUUUUUUAUGUUGUUUUUGUAUCCUGGAACUUUACUGAUUUUUAAAAUUAGUUCUAAUAGUUUUUUGGUGGAGUCUUUAAGCUUUUUGACUAUAAGAUCAUAUCAUCUGCAAACAAAAAUAAUUUGACCUCUUCCUGUCCAAUCUGGAUGCCCUUUAUUUCUUUCUCUUGGCUGACUUUUCUAGCUAGAACUUCCAGUACUAUGCUGAAUAACAGUGGUGAAAGUGGGCAUCCUUAUUGUGUUCCAGAUCUUAGAGGAAAGGCUUUCAGUUAUUCCCCAUUCAGUAUGAUACUAGCUAUGGGACCAUCAUAUAUGGCUUUUUUAAAUGGUGAAGUGUGUUCCUUCUAUCCCAAGUUCUUUGAGGGUUUUUGUCGUGAAAGAUGUUGAAUUUUAUCAAAUACUUUUUCAGUAUCAAUUGAAAUGAUCGUAUCAUUUUUAUCUUUCAUUCUGUUGAUAUGAUGUGUCAUGUUAAUCGAUUUGUGUAUGUUGUACCAUCCUUGCAUCCCAGAGAUAAAUCCCACUUAGUCAUGAUGAAUUAUCUUUCUAAUAUAUUGUUGGAUUUGGCUUGUUAGUAUUUUGUUGAGUAUUUUUGCAUCAAUAUUCAUCAGAGAUAUUGGUCUGUAGUUUUCAUUUUUCAUGUGUCUUUGUCUGGUUUUGGUAUCAGGGAAAUACUGGCCUCAUAGAAUGAGUUUGGAAGUAUUUCUUCCUCCUCAUUUUUUCAGAAUAGUUUGAGUGAGAUUGGUAUUAGUUCUUCUCUCGAUGCUUGAUAGAAUUGAGUAGUGAAGCCAUUGGGUCUUGGGCUUUUCUUUACCAGAAGACUUUUUAUUAUGACUUUGAUCUUACUAUUUUUAUUGGUCUUUUCAGAUUUUGGAUUUCUUCAUAGUUCAAUCUUGGAACAUUAUAUGUGUCUAGGAAUUUGUUCAUGUUCUCGGGUUUUCUAAUUUAUUGGCAUAUAGUUGCUCAUAGUAGCCUCUAAUGAUCCUUUUAAUUUCUGCAGUAUCAGUUGUAAUGCUCUUUUUCAUUUCUGAUUUUAUUAAUUUGUGUCUCCUUUUUUCUUCUUAGUCUGGCUAAAGGUUUGUAAAUUUUGUUUAACUUUUCAAAAAACCAUUUUGUUUCAUUGAUCUUUUGUAUUUUCUCUAUUUCAAUUUCAUUUAUUUCUGCUCUUUAUUAUUUCUUUUCUUCUACUAAUUUUGGGUGAGGUUUGCUCUUGCUUUUCUAGUUCUUUAAGAUGCAUUGUUAGAUUGUUUAUUUGAAGUUUUCCCCUUUUUGAUGUAGGCACUUAUAGCUAUAAACUUCACUCUUAGUACUGCCUUUGUUGUAUCCUAUAAGUUUUGGUAUGUUGUGUUUCCAUUAUCACUUGUUUCAAGAAAUUUUUCAAUUUCCUUUUUAAUUUCUUCAUCAACCCACUGGUCAUUCUGGAGCAUAUUGUUUAAUUUCCAUGUAUUUGUAUAGUUUUCAAGGUUCUUGUUAUUAAUUUCUAGUUUUAUUCCAUUGUGAUCAGAGAAGAUGCUUGAUAUUAUUUCAUUUUUUUUGAAUGUUUUAAGACUCGUUUUGUUACCUAAAAUAUGGUAUAUCCUUGAGAUUUAUUCAUGUAUUGAGGAGAAGCAUGUGUAUUCUGCAGCCGAGGGAUGAAAUGUUCUAUAAUUAUCUGUAAGUCCACUUGGUCAAUAGUGCAGAUUAGGUCUGAUGUUUCUUUGUUGAUUUUCUGUCUGAAAGAUAUGUCCAAUGCUGAAUAUUGGGUGUUCAAGUCUCCAGCUAUUAUUGUAUUAGGGUCUAUCCCUCGCCUUAGCUCUAAUAAUAUUUGGUUUAUACAUCUGGGUGCUCAAGGCAUGCAGAUUUAAAAUUGUUAUAUCCUCUUGCUGAAUUGACCUCUUUAUCAUUAUAGAAUGACCUUCCUUGUGUCUUCUGAUAGUUUUUGUCUUGUAAUAUAUUUUGUAUGAUAUAAGUAUAGCUACUCAUGCUCUUUUUGGGUUUCCAUUGGAAUGGAAUAUCUUUUUCCAUCCCUUUAUUUGUAGUCUAUAUGUGUCUUUAUAGUUGAAUUGUGUUUCUUGUAGGCAACAGAUUAAUGAAUAUUGUUUUUUCAUCCACUCAGCCAUUCUCUUUUAAUUGGAGAGUUUAGUCCAUUUACAUUCAAUGUUAUUAUUGAUAAGUAAGAGCUUACUCUGGCCAUUUUGUUAUUUGUUUUCUGGUCUUCUCCUCCUUCUUUCUUUCCUCCUGUCUUCCCUUAGUGAAGGUAGUUUUUUCUGGUGAUAUGAUUUAGUUUCUUGCUUUUUAUUUUUUGUGUAUUCAUUGUAUGUUUUUUGUUUGAGAUCACCGUGAAGCUUGCAAAUACCAUCUUUUAAACCAUUAUUUCAAUCGAUAACUACUUAACACUGUGUGUAUAAACAAACAAAGAAGCAAAAACAAAGCUAAUAAAAAGUAUAUGCCUUAACUUCAUCCUUCAACUUUUUAACUUUUUCCUGUUUCUAUGUAUAUCUUAUUGUACUAUGUCAUGAAAAGUUAUUGUUAUUUGUGA